rnacentral:rRNA from 1 species
AUUGAACGCUGGCGGCAGGCCUAACACAUGCAAGUCGAGCGAGCGGCGGACGGGUGAGUAAUGUAUGGGGACUGCCCGAUCGAGGGGGAUAACUACUGGAAACGGUGGCUAAUACCGCAUACUCAUAGAUAGCCCAUGUGGGAUUAGCUAGUUGGUGGGGUAAUGGCCUACCAAGGCGACGAUCUGUCGCGGGUCUGAGAGGAUGAUCAGCCACACUGGGACUGAGACACGGCCCAGACUCCUACGGAGGCAGCAGUGGGGAAUAUUGCACAAUGGGCGCAAGCCUGAUGCAGCCAUGCCGCGUGUAUGAAGAAGGCCCUAGGGUUGUAAAGUACUUUCAGUCGGGAGGCGUUACCGACAGAAGAAGCACCGGCUAACUCCGUGCCAGCAGCCGCGGUAAUUC